rnacentral:misc_RNA from 1 species
GAUGAAGAACGCAGCGAAAUGCGAUAAGUAAUGUGAAUUGCAGAAUUCAGUGAAUCAUCGAAUCUUUGAACGCACAUUGCGCCCUUUGGCAUUCCGAAGGGCACACCUGUCCGAGCGCCGUCGCACAACUGAGGCGCAGCCUUGCGUUGGCGGGCGACUUGUGAGUAGCGAGUCGCCGCCCAAACGAGACGGCGCCGCGCCGCGGCCGACGAAGCACGAAGGCGGAAGUCGACGCGGAGGCGGUUGCCUGUAGGAAGACACAGCUUGGCCUCGGAUCAGGUGGGGAUACCCGCUGAACUUAAGCAUAUCAAUAAGCGGAGGA